rnacentral:rRNA from 1 species
GACGAACGCUGGCGGCGUGCCUAAUACAUGCAAGUAGAACGCUGAAGGAGGAGCUUGCUUCUCUGGAUGAGUUGCGAACGGGUGAGUAACGCGUAGGUAACCUGCCUGGUAGCGGGGGAUAACUAUUGGAAACGAUAGCUAAUACCGCAUAAUAGUAGAUGUUGCAUGACAUUUGCUUAAAAGGUGCAAUUGCAUCACUACCAGAUGGACCUGCGUUGUAUUAGCUAGUUGGUGGGGUAACGGCUCACCAAGGCGACGAUACAUAGCCGACCUGAGAGGGUGGAUGGGCACACUGGGACUGGAGACAGGCCCAAGAUUCCUAGGGGAGGAACAAUAGGGGAACUUUGGCCAAGGGCCGAAAGCUUGACGAGGCAAGGCGGCGGGGUGGAAGAAGGUUUCGGGACGGAAAAGUCCGUUGGAAGGGGAGGAAGGGUGGUAAGGUGGAAAGUUCACACUGUGACGGUAUCUUAACAGAAAGGGACGGCUAACUACGUG